GACACUAGAAGCUCUAAUGCUAAAGCUGCUACUGAUGAUAUGAUUUAUGACGGAAAUUUGUGAUCUCUUUCCUCGAGAAAAAGUGACAGCGAAAAGGAAAGACGAUUGACUGUACUUAUCAAAUUCGGAAUGCAGCACUGGGUAUGUGGAGACCCCAUAGAUACACAUCCUAAAGUGAUAUCAUUACCUUUAGGAUGUGUUGCUGGUUAACGACAUGCAUGAUGGCCUGCUUUGCAGUCCCAGCAAAGGCCAACGUAUAAGACAAGGACACUAGAAGCUCUAAUGCUAAAGCCGUUGCCGAUGAUAUGAUUUAUGAUGGAAAUUUGUCAUUUCUCUCCGCGAGAAAAAAUGUAGCAAAAUGGAAAGACAAUUGACUGUACUUAUCAAAUUCGGAAUGCAGCACUUGGUAUGUGGAGACCCCAUAGAUACACAUCCUAAACUGAUAUCAUUACCUUUAGGAUGUGUUGCUGGUUAAUGACAUGCUAAAGUCAUCCUAAUCUCCAUUCAAUUAAGCAUGGAAUGCAGUAAUGCAACUUUCUGAGCCAAUGACUUUCUAGGUAAUCGCAUCUCUGUUGAUGCAACAGGAUGCAUGAUGAAAUAGAGACCAUUUGUUAGGAUCCUUGUGUUUUUGUGAUCAGAAAGAUUUUCAUAUGAUUUCCUUUUCGUCUUAGUAUAUCUUUCUAAACUUUCCCUUCUUAAAUUAUCUUGCUUUUGUGAUUCUUAUACAAAAACUAAACCUUUUUAUAAAAUUAUCAUCUCGAAACCUAGUCCUUUUCAAAAUUUACU